rnacentral:lncRNA from 12 species
CACAGAAUGCUCCUGUGCACUAGGUCCCUGAACUCUUUACCCCUUAAUCUCUAGUGGGACUUAUUUCCCACUGUAGGGUAGCAGAGUCUAUCGCUCCAAAAGAUGUCACUUUGGCAGGAGGAUGAUUUGAAGCCAAAUAGAUUGAGAAGAAACGGAUAGAAGAAAAUCUCUCUAUCCUCCCCUGUAGAUCUGUAAAGAUGUCCCCCUGUCCCCUUCUCUACCAGGAAGGACAGAAGUUGCACUGGAGACAUCUUUAUAUCCUGAUCAGUCCAGAGAUGGCGCAGAGGAGUCUACGCAGCCAACCUCAGUAACUAGGCUUCAUCUCCCACUAGCUCCCCAGAGACUCGCCUCUCUAUAACAUGCCACCCUAGGAACGCAAAAUUCUUUUCCUUUGUCUUGUCAUCUCUCUACGUAUUUAUUGUUCUUUCCCAAGAUGCUCUAUAAACCCCAAGUUCUAAACAACCCUUUGGAUUACUCCUCCCUGAGUGCUCCCGUGUGCACGCGCGAUGCACGUGGUAAGAAACUCCUCUUUGUUUUCCUCCUGUUAGUCUCUGUCAGUCUAGUUCAUGGCCAUCCCAGUCAGAGAACCCAGAAGGGCAAAGAGAAUGAGACAUCCUAACUUGUCUACCUCAACAGUUGUCUUUGUGGUAACUGCUCACUGCUGUGUACAGUCUUUCUCUAGAUGGGUCAAGUACUACCCUCAAGCUGCCCAUCUACCUCACACUUGUGCCAACCUUGUCUGUCACCUGGGUCACAGAUCCCCCUCAUUGCCACGUGGCCUCAGCCACUUCAGAAUCCUAUCAUGCCCACAGGUGCUGGGGAGCUCAUGCUCUGCUCUGGUGCUGGCCCACAGGACCCUGACUCUGAGACGGUGUGCAAACCCAUGCACAACCCCUGGCAACUCCCAGAUUUCUCUCUUUUACCCGUUUCCAAAUGAGUGA